rnacentral:rRNA from 1 species
AUGGCUCACAACGCGGCCGCUGCAGUUGAUCCCGGCGAAGGCCUCCGGGCACCCGAUACGUCGUCAAGGCACGUCGUGGAGAGCGUGACGCACGAUUUCCAGGUGACCAACUAUCCGCUACUCGGAGGCAUGCGUGUCAGAAAGUACAUUAGCUCGAGCACGUUCGCCGUCGGCGGCUACGACUGGAACAUCGUGUUCUACCCGGACGGAGACGACGAGGACUGUGCAGGGCACGCGUCGGCCUUCUUGUGUUAUCUUAGCCAGGCCAAGGACGAGGUGAGGACAAACUUGACCUUCACCAUGCUGAACGAUCAAGGCAACGUACAAGCAACCCAUCAGGUACCGGAGUUCAUCUUUUCUACAGGGGUAGAAAAUGAUAGCCUGGGAUUUCCCAAAUUUGUCGAGAAAUCGAAGCUGAAAUCGUCAUCUCGCCUCCUAACGAUAAGAUGCGUUCUCGCCGUGAUCAAAGAACCACCAGCGGAGUGCAAGAGAUACCUUAUCGUGGACCCUCCACCGGAGCUGUCCGGCCGCCUCCACCGCGCCCUCAAGAACGGGAGAGGCACCGACAUCACGCUCCUCGUGGGCGGCAGGGAGUUCAGCGCGCACAGGUUCAUGCUUGCCGCACGGUCGCCCGUCUUCGAAUCGCUCUUUGGCCCGAUGAUGGAUAAGGACACACGGUGCGUAGAGAUUGCCGACAUGGAGCCAGCCAUCUUCGAGAUGCUUCUGCAUUACGUCUACACGGAUUCACUGCCGCCGUGUGGUGAAGGCGAUUACGAUGCAGCCACGAUGCAGCAUUUGCUAGUCGGUGCGGUCCGGUACGGGCUGGACAGGUUGAAGGUGAUGUGCGAAAAGAGGUUGUGCAGAAACAUCGACGCGAGCACAGUCAUGAGCACAUUGGCACUAGCAACUCAUCACAACUCUGACCAGCUAAAGGAUGCAUGCCUAGAGUUUAUAUCGUCGUCGCGGGAAGUCAUGGAUACAGUCGUGGUAACCGACGGGUUCCAACACCUCAUGGCAAAUUGCCCCAUGCUAGAUUUGCCGAAGAACACCGGGGGAAAAGUAACCAUCAAGAGUAAGGAUGGCAAUUUUACCCACGGGUACGGGUACCCGCGGGUACCGUACCCGCAUGGGCAGGGUAUGGACACACUUUUAUACCCAUGGGUAGUACCCAUACCCUACCCAUUAAGUCAUGGGUAGGGUACGGGUAUAACCUUGUACCCGCGGGUAUACCCAUACCCUGCCCGUUUGUGA